CUCUUCAUUUUCUGAGGAGGGAAGACAUUACUCUUAACCAGCUUCCGCUAUACAUUCACCCCUUGUUUACAUUUUUACACUGACAAACGUAUUAGUGUUGAGUGUGCUGCGAGGACUAAAACAUUUUUAUAAUCAUAAUAUUUAAAAAUAAUACAUUGUAGUUGUUUGUUUUAAACAAUUGCACGUAAGUGCUCUUUUGACGUCAGGUUCCAUGUCUCUAUGGUCCUCCACCCACAGUUCUGGCUAUCAAGAGCAAUGGGAAAGCCUAUGCAUUAAGAGGAAUCUUAAUACAUAACAUACACAAAGGGCACUGCUGACUACCAAACCUUCAUGUCUUCCCCAGUUAGACAUAAAGCAACAGUUGGAGCUGAAGUCUGAGAUAUACAGAGAUUGAACUUUCAGAAGUUUACCAAGGCACACUGAAUGCACACUUAUUCAUUUCAUCCACGUUACCUCUGAGCAAGAGCCAGGAAGAGCUUUCACUAACAUGCUAAAAACAAACAUGGACGAACAAGUUUGAAUGACGCACAGGAGCAUUCACAGUCUGCUGUCAGUGCUUCCUGUUUUACAGUCCAACUGAGCUCAAAGCUAAUACUGAGCUAAAUCCUUUCUUUUGGGCACAUUAGGAAUGACCUCAUUUGUAAAAAUGGUAUAGUAAAUAUACAUUUUUCACCAAAAACUACAAAAUGUUUUCUUUUAGGGUCAGGGUGUGGGUUGAUAUAAGUCUAUAGUUAUUUGAAUAAUCUCAAUAUUAAGACAAUAGAAAAAUCUCCCCAUUUUGCCAAGGUUCUUGAUAGAAUUGUGACCAUGAAGCCAUUACACUGUUUUGAAGCAUAAUUGCAGAUGUGGUUUGCUUUUGUCAUAAUGUGAAGCACAAAUCCCUUUAAAUUCAAUGUUUUUCUUUUUUUAAAUAAGAAGUAAAAGCUUUAUAAUUUA